rnacentral:rRNA from 1 species
AUGAGUAUUAUAUGUUGUAAUUGUCGAGGAUCGGGGUCGACCUCGAUAGUUGACGAGCUUCGCUGGCUUGUGAAGCUUCACCGACCAACCCUCCUCUUUUUGUCUGAGACAAAGAUGAGGGAUCCCCUUGUCCAUAAUUUUAUGUGGUCUUUUUGUUUUUCGGGUUGCUUUGCUAAUAGUUCAGAGGGUCAAAGUGGUGGACUAGCUCUUUUUUGGAAGGAUUCG